GGAGGAUGAUCUGGAGGUACAGAGAGUUUUGGAGGAGAUAGUGGUUCUGCAGGAGGCUGCCCAGAAAUACAAAAUAGAGCCUGAGGAGCAAUUCCGGGCCUGGUUCUGGGCCCUGAAACGGCUCAGUGAAAAUGAGAGUUACAUCUGGUCCUGCCAGCUGGAGCCACAGUCCUAGGUGGCCAGGGGACUCACCAAAGGAAGUCAAUU